AUGGCAAGCAUUUCUCUCGUUCUCACAAUUUGCGUCCUGGGCUUCUACGUGCCCGCCCCCUCCCUGGCGUCGCCCUCCCACGGCAAUGACUUCCUCCGCUGCCUCUCGACGGACGUCCCCGGCCAGCUCGUACAGACGCCGAGCUCGCCGUCGUUCAAGCAGCUCCUGGUGUCGUCCAUCAGGAACGCCAGGUUCGUGGCGCCGGCCACAGCCAGGCCGCCGAUCUGCAUCGUGACUCCAACCAACGCAUCGCAUGUCCAGGCCGCCGUGCGCUGCGGGCGCCGCCACGGCGUGCGCGUCCGCGUGCGCAGCGGCGGGCACGACUGCGAAGGCCUCUCGUACCGGUCGGGCCGCCGCGACAGCGAGGCGUUCGCGGUGAUCGACCUCGCCGAGCUCCACGCCAUCGGCGUCAACCCACACGAGGCCCCCGCAUGGGUUGACGCCGGGGCGAGGAUUGGGGAGCUCUACUACCAUGUCGCCACCGCUGCGCCUGGGCUGGGCUUCCCGGCUGGCAUGUGCCCGACCAUUGGCGGAGGGGGGCACUUCAGCGGAGGCGGCAUGGGCCUCAUGAUGCGCAAGUACGGUCUCUCCGCCGACAACGUGCUCGACGCCACCAUGGUCGAUGCCCAAGGGAACCUCCUGGCGGACAAGAAGGCCAUGGGGGACGACCUCUUCUGGGCCAUCCGCGGCGGUGGCGGCGGGAAUUUUGGCAUCGUGCUGUCGUGGAAGGUGAGGCUCGUGCCGGUCCCGCCGACAGUGACCUUCGUCAAAGUUGCGAGGACCAUGGAACAAGGCGCGGUCGACUCGGUGACCAAAUGGCAAACGCUCGCGCCGGCGCUCCCCGACGACCUCAGCGUACGUGUCGUUGUGCAAAACGGUGAGGCCAACUUCCAGGCCCUGUACCUCGGCAACAGCAGCGCGGUGGUGACGACGAUGGGGAGCCGGUUCCCAGAGCUCAGGGUGACGAUCGCCGACUGCAAGGAGAUGAGCUGGCUGCAGUACACGGCGUACAUAUUCUUCGGCGACGCCAUCAACAGCAAGCCUCUGGAGGCGCUCCUCCUCAACCGGUCCAUGCCCCUGGGACAAUUCGUCAAGAACAAUCCGACUACGUCAAGAAAACACUCACCAAGGAGACGUGGGAGAAGAUCUUCCGCUGGCCCAAUGGUACCGCCACGGGGCAGCUCGUCCUGGAGCCGCACGGCGGAAUAA
rnacentral:rRNA from 1 species